UGCGCCUUGCCAGCCCGCUCAGAAACUCAAAGGAAUUGACGGGGGCCCGCACAAGCGGUGGAGCAUGUGGUUUAAUUCGAUGAUACGCGAGGAACCUUACCUGGGCUCAAAUGUAUGUUGACGUAUUCUGAAAGGGAUACUUCUUCGGACAAUAUACAAGGUGCUGCAUGGUUGUCGUCAGCUCGUGCCGUGAGGUGUUGGGUUAAGUCCCGCAACGAGCGCAACCCUUGCCUUUAGUUGCCAGCAGUUCGGCUGGGCACUCUAAAGGGACUGCCGGUGUUAAACCGGAGAAAGGUGGGGAUGACGUCAAGUCCUCAUGGCCUUUAUGACCAGGGCUACACACGUACUACAAUGGCCGAUACAAAGGGCAGCGACACUGCGAGGUGAAGCCAAUCCCGUAAAAUCGGUCUCAGUCCGGAUUGGAGUCUGCAACUCGACUCCAUGAAGUUGGAAUCGCUAGUAAUCGUGGAUCAGCAUGCCACGGUGAAUACGUUCCCGGGCCUU
rnacentral:rRNA from 1 species